GAGUUUGAUCGUGGCUCAGAUUGAACGCUGGCGGCAUGCCUUACACAUGCAAGUCGAACGGCAGCAUGAUCUAGCUUGCUAGAUUGAUGGCGAGUGGCGAACGGGUGAGUAAUACAUCGGAACGUGCCCCGUAGUGGGGGAUAACUAGUCGAAAGAUUAGCUAAUACCGCAUACGACCUGAGGGUGAAAGUGGGGGACCGCAAGGCCUCAUGCUAUAGGAGCGGCCGAUGUCUGAUUAGCUAGUUGGUGGGGUAAAGGCCCACCAAGGCGACGAUCAGUAGCUGGUCUGAGAGGACGAUCAGCCACACUGGGACUGAGACACGGCCCAGACUCCUACGGGAGGCAGCAGUGGGGAAUUUUGGACAAUGGGCGAAAGCCUGAUCCAGCAAUGCCGCGUGUGUGAAGAAGGCCUCGGUUGUAAGUA
rnacentral:rRNA from 1 species